rnacentral:rRNA from 1 species
UGCCAGCCGCCGCGGUAAUACGGAGGGGACUAGCGUUGUUCGGAAUUACUGGGCGUAAAGCGCACGUAGGCGGAUCAGUCAGUUAGGGGUGAAAUCCCAGGGCUCAACCCUGGAACUGCCUCUAAUACUGCUGGUCUAGAGAUCGAGAGAGGUGAGUGGAAUUCCGAGUGUAGAGGUGAAAUUCGUAGAUAUUCGGAGGAACACCAGUGGCGAAGGCGACUAACUGGACUGAUACUGACGCUGAGGUGCGAAAGUGUGGGGAGCAAACAGGAUUAGAUA